AAAAAGGGGAAGAAACCAACAGGGGAUUCCCUUUAGUAACGGGCGAGCGAACAGGGUAAGAGCCCAGUAUGAAAAUCUCCAGCCUUUGGCUGGCGAAUUGUAGUCUGGAGGAGCGCUCCCUGGGUGGGUGCUGGCCGAAGUAUACUGGAAGGUAUCGCUAUAGAGGGUGAGAGCCCCGUGGCCAGUUAACCCGUCCUUCACGGGACGCUUUCAAAGAGUCGCGUUGUUUGGGAAUACAGCGCUAAUUGGGUGGUAAACCCCAUCUAAGGCUAAAUACCAAUGGGAGACCGAUAGCGAAA
rnacentral:rRNA from 1 species